AUGCGCACACCAGCUAACGUGACUUCAAGAAAGGAGUCCAGGACCCGAGGGCUGGGGCAUAGAGUGUGGAGCAUGCGCACUGACUGCGCCACCAAGACGCGCAGGCGCAGUGGGCUGAGCGCCUGUAGGGGGUCAGUUUGGGACGUUGAGUGUGGAGCAAGAGCUGGUUCUUGGAGGGCCGUUGCUGGGCUCUUGAACAGGGUGGGUCCAAUGAAGAGAGUCUGUAGUCGGACUCCAAGUCUUGAACCUGAAAUGACUGCAGCAAAAAAAGCAAAACUGAAACCAGAUAGUGGAAGAUCAUUCCAACAGGCCUGGACAGAGUCAUUUGGAGUGAUUGAACGCAAUGGGAAAGCGUUAUGUAUUCUGUGUAGUGAAAGUGUUGUGUGUCGCACAUCAAGUGUGAGACGGCACUUUGACACCAACCACAAAAGUGUUGCUGAACUUGGUGAAACUGAAAGGAAAGAGUUUCUAGAAGGAAAAUUGAGGAAAUGUCAUUCCCAGUAUCUUAGUUUUUGCAACCAUCUUUCUAAGUCAAAUCAUCUGACAGCUGCCAGCUUUCAAAUUUCACUGUGUAUAGUAAAACAUGGUAAGCCCCUCUCUGAUGGGGAUUUUGUCAAAAUGGCCAUGUUAUCUGGGAGUGAUUCCCUUUUUCAUGAUUUUCCAAACAAGGAUAAAAUUAUGCAACGUAUUUCUGAGAUGCCACUUAGCAGAAACACUGUUAAAGAUCGAGUCCUGCGCAUGGCAGGUGAUGUUAGCCAGCAACUCACCACUGACUUACAAAAGGCAGCCUGUUACUCCAUGUGCUUGUAUGAAAGCACAGAUAUAAAUAACCAUGCAAAGCUAGCGGUAAUUUUGCGUUAUGCAGUUGGUGACAUCAUGAGAGAAGAGCUGGUGAAACUGGUGUCUUUGCCUGGAAGAACAGAAGGGAUAGAUAUCUACAAUGCUGUGAUGGAGACUUUUUUGUCACAAGACAUAAGACCAGAAAAAGUGGUUUCAGUUACUAGUGAUGGGGCACCUCACAUGAUAGGGGCAACAUCUGGUUUCGUACAGUUCUUUGUUAAAGAAACAAAACAUCCAGUCAUUCAGUUUCAUUGUAUUAUACAUCAAGAAGCUCUUUGUGCCAGGGAAGGCAGCAAAAAAUUAGAUGAUAUCCUCAGAGAUGUCACAAAAAUGGUGAAUUACAUCAUGGCUCGUGCUCGUAAUUUUCGACAGUUUCAAGCACUGCUUGAUGAGGUUCAGACACAGUAUAAUGCUUUACUUAUGUACAAUAAAGUCCAAUGGCUGAGCAGAGGACGAGUCCUGGAGAGAUUUGUAGCCUGUUUGGAUGAAAUUAGGCUGUUUAUGAAUGAAAAAGGGCAGGACUAUCCACAGCUCACUGAUAUGGCCUGGCUUAAUAACUUAAUGUUUUUUACAGAUUUUACACUACAUUUCAAUGUACUGAACAAAAAACUACAAAGUAUAGGGAAAACAGCAGAAAGGAUGUUUUAUGAUAUCAAAACAUUUGAGAAAAAACUGCAGGUUUUUGAGAGAGACCUUGAAAGUGGGCAGCUGAAAUACUUUCCAAAUCUAAAAAUACAUUUAGACAAUACUACAUUUUCAGACCAUCCUACGAGCCAUCAGGAAAUCUAUAAGGAAUUUUCUAGCCUUGUAGCAGCUGCAAAGGCAAAUAUUAGUAACAGAUUUUUACAGUUCCAUAAGAUGGAGACAACUCUGUGUUUUCUUACUUCUCCAGAUAAAGCCAAAUUUGAAGAACUUGAUCUUUCCUGCUUACACUGGUUAGAUUUUGGAAAUCUGGAAAUGGAGCUACUGGAAUUUCAAGAAAGUUCUAUCUGGAAAAAUAAAUUCUUUGACCUGCGUGCAACACUUGAGAAGAUAGAGACAUUAGCGUGUGAAGGGAUGACAAAGGAUAGAACAGUUGGUAGUCCUGAAAAUGAAAUCCUUAAAGUGUGGAAUUCUCUGCCAAAUAAUUUUAAGUCAAUGAAAGCACUUGGGAUUGCUUUUCUUACUUUGUUUGGAUCAUCUUAUGCUUGUGAGCAGCUGUUUUCAGCUUUGAAUUACAUCAAAUCUGAUACAAGAAAACAGACAGAUGAUGUGAGUGCUGCAUGUGUUGCUCUCAAACUAACGAAGUAUGAGCCCAGGUUUGACAAAUUAUCAGCAUGCAUACAACAGCAAAGAUCACAUUAAUUGUGGAAAAACAUGCCAAAUCCAAGCUUUUACCUUUCAAUAAAAAGCUGUUUGUAUCAUUGAAAGCUGUUUCUGUGUUUUCCUUUUGAGACAAAAGAUGUUAAUG
rnacentral:lncRNA from 1 species